rnacentral:rRNA from 1 species
GAAAAGAAACCAACAGGGAUUCCCCUAGUAACGGCGAGUGAAGCGGGAAUAGCUCAAAUUUAAAAUCGCGUUGGGUUCCCCAGUCGCGAAUUGUAGUUUGAUGAGGCGUGCUUGGUAGAUGCCUAGGUCUAAGUCCCUUGGAAAAGGGUAUCAUAGAGGGUGACAAUCCCGUCUGUGGCCUUGUAAGCAAAUACCGUGUAAGCCGCCUUCAAAGAGUCGGGUUGUUUGGGAAUGCAGCCCUAAGCGGGUGGUAAAUUCCAUCUAAAGCUAAAUAUUCGUGAGAGACCGAUAGCGAACAAGUACCGUGAGGGAAAGUUGAAAAGCACUCUGGAGAGAGAGUUAAACAGCACGUGAAAUUGUUAACAGGGAAACGUUAGGCAUCAGUACGCGCCUUGCGUAGAAUCAUCCACUCCCCCGAUUUCAUCCGGUAAGAUGGCGAGCCUUAACCAGCCGUCCCUUGCCGUCUGUCUGAGGGGGGUGGUGCACUUCUGCGUGGGCGGGCCAACUUCAGUUAGGACCGGUAUACACGGCUCCGGGGAAGGUAGGUAGGGGCCUCGGCUCCUGCAACUUAUAGCCCCGGUGUCCCAUAUUGAUCUUGACUGAGGAUUCGCGACCCAUGCCUUCAGGCAAGGGCCCUUUCGUACUCUCGUCCUCCGCGGGUAGGAUAGCUUGCUCCCCUGCUCUCGGUGGGAUUAGAUGUUGCGGGAUGGGUCUCUAAUGGUCAAGAAGUGCGAAUUUCAUCUU